rnacentral:rRNA from 1 species
CCUACGGGUGGCUGCAGUGGGGAAUCUUGCACAAUGGGGGAAACCCUGAUGCAGCGACGCCGCGUGAGUGAUGAAGUCCUUCGGGAUGUAAAGCUCUUUCGACAGGAACGAUAAUGACGGUACCUGGAGAAGAAGCUGCGGCUAACUACGUGCCAGCAGCCGCGGUAAUACGUAGGCAGCAAGCGUUGUUCGGAAUUAUUGGGCGUAAAGAGUAUGUAGGCGGUUCGCUAAGUCUGAUGUGAAAUCUCCUGGCUUAACUGGGAGGGUGCGUCGGAAACUGGCGGGCUCGAGUGCGGGAGAGGGGAGCGGAAUUCCUGGUGUAGCGGUGAAAUGCGUAGAUAUCAGGAGGAACACCGGUGGUGUAGACGGCUCCCUGGACCGUAACUGACGCUGAGAUACGAAAGCGUGGGUAGCAAACAGGAUUAGAUACCCGGGUAGUC